rnacentral:rRNA from 1 species
CCUACGGGUGGCAGCAGUAGGGAAUCUUUCACAAUGGGCGAAAGCCUGAUGGAGCAACGCCGCGUGCAGGAUGAAGGCCUUCUGGUUGUAAACUGCUUUUAUAAGUGAGAAAUAUGAUGGUAACUUAUGACUAAGUAUCGGCUAACUACGUGCCAGCAGCCGCGGUCAUACGUAGGAUCCGAGCAUUAUCCGGAGUGACUGGGUGUAAAGAGUUGCGUAGGUGGCAUAAUAAGUAGCUAGUGAAAUCUGGUGGCUCAACCAUUCAGACUAUUAGCUAAACUGUUAAGCUCGAGACCGUUAGGAGUAACUGGAAUUUCUAGUGUAGGAGUGAAAUCCGUAGAUAUUAGAAGGAACACCAAUAGCGUAGGCAGGUUACUGGGACGGAUCUGACACUAAGGCACGAAAGCGUAGGGAGCAAACGGGAUUAGAUACCCUUGUAGUC